rnacentral:tRNA from 1 species
CCUGGUGGCUCAGAGGUUAAAGCAUCUGCCUGCAAUGUAGGAGACCGGGGUUUGAUCCCUGGGUCAGGA